ACCCCCAUUUCCAUCCCAACCAAACGAACUUCUCUCCCCUUCAACCAACAGCUAACCAAAUGACGCCGCCAUCCCACCCCGUCACGUCACUUCCAUCACCUCGUCAGCACUGCCACGCCGUCGGACCGCUGGGUUAACGUGGUCAGCGACGCCACUGGCCUCACCAGUCACCUUUUCUCCUGUCACCCAUCUCCCUUUUUCUGAAAUGGAGCUUGACGACUCGUAAAAAGGUCGAUUGAGAACGGGAAAGAGCGAAUCCACAGCCAUCAAACCCACUUGAAAAGGUGAAAAUCCGUCACUUUUCUUCAUUUUUCCUCUUUUCGAAGUUUCAGAUUUUUUCCCCCUCUUUUGAUUCGAAAUUCAAAGGCAAAUUUCCCUUUGAAGAAGCUGUUGAAACCCUCAGUGUUUACCUAUAAAUACAGGCCUUCCUCGGCUGUUUUGAGACGAGGUUGGAAAAGGAGAGAAAAUCCCAUUUAAGAAAAACAAGUUUCAAGUGUAGAAAAUCCCCUUUAAGUUAACAAGUUCAAGUAUUAAAAAAUUACCUCUUGAACAAACGUUUUCACUACUGAAAACUAAGUUUGGAUUUUCAGAAAAUACUAUUCCUAACUCUUAAGUUUUUGGUUGUCGAAAUCCCCUCCUUCGGUUCUCGACUGAGCAAGGACCACUCUGAGCGGAUUCGGAGACUCGACGACGACAAUAGCUUCAGGUCGCUGUCACAUAGAAGGUAAAGAUAUUCAGAACGCAUAAAGGAGCAAAAUGAAGAAAAACAGGCCAAGGACACACUUUUGCACAACAUGCGAACCGCAUGUCAUGUUUGCGGAUCCACAAUUGCACCGCAUAGCAUGACAGGCCACUGAAUAAGAGAGAUGAAAGGUUGCGCAAUUUGCGAGAUCAACAGGCGAUUCACAUGUUAAACUUGCGAUACUACAAUGUUAACGCAAACCCUGUCCGAAAUUUGGGAAGCCUGAAGUCAAGAGCAUAACAUCCGGCUGUUGAGCAUGCUUCGCGUCUCGCAUGUUUGCCUUGCGACACAACAUGCAUCUGCAAGGUUAUUUUUGUCUAAACUUUAUGCACGUUUUUUGGGGGAUAUAAAUACCCUCCUACGGUUUUGAAAAAGACAUACUCUGCACUUAUUAUUGUCUUUUUGUGAAGGAAACAUUUAUUAUUGGUUGUAGGAGCUUUAAAGAAGAAUCCUGCACUUUAUUUUGUGGCUUUCUUCCAAAAAGCUUUGUAAGCAUUAUGCUACAUUAUUUAUCUUUGUCUCUUACUUAAUGCAAAUGUUUAGCUAAACCCAUUAGCUAAGGUUGUGAGACCAAA